UUUCCCUGGUUUAUAAUCAUCAAGCAAAUACAGAAGGUGAGUGGGAGUUUCAGCGCCGACUGCCUGCUUUUUGAUCGCUGCUGGAGAAGGAGUCUGUGAGCAACGUUACUUUACUUUAUUGUCACCAAACAAUUGAUACUGGAACAUACAAUCAUCACAGUGAUAUUUGAUUCUGCGCUUCACGCUCCCUGGAUUACAAAUCGAUGCAGCCAUCUCCAUGAGGAGUUAUUUAUGUCGGCCAUUAAACCUGCCAACCAGCACAGCUUUGGGAUGUGAAAGGCAAGUGAAGCCGCCCAGGGGAAGCACACACCAUCGCAGGGAGAACUUGCAAGCUCCACGCAUUCAGCACUUGAGAGGAGGCCUCAUGCUGCAUACCGCGGGGUCGCCUGUUGCAGCCGCCCAGCAGUGUCCAUGUUGGGUUGGGGGGGGAGGGGGCUGGACCCCUCCCGUUGGUGCUGCCCUCUAGUGUUCACUCAGUGGAAGACAAUCUGGAUUGCGUCCGUCUGCAGACUGCUGCCGUCUUGUUCUUGCCACAACAUUCAUGCACCAUCAAUCUACAGGACACUAAUGGACUUGGACUUUAUAUUUUUUGUGUGCCUGAAUGUUUUCUACUAUCUUAUAUGUGCUAUAAGUGUCUUAUGCUGAGUAUUACUAUUCGUGUUAUGUCUCGCACCUUGGCCCCGAAGGAACACUCUUUCAUUUGACUGUAUUCAUUUCAAUGACAAUUGAACUUAAACUUGAACUUGAAAUCACAGUAAAACUAUCUGACCAUUCUGAUAUAGUCACCAAUGCCUCUACUCCCUCAGGAGGCUAAAGAAAUUUGGCAUGCCCCUGUCAACUCUUACCAAUUUUUAUCGAUGCAUCGUAGAGAGAGCAUCUUAUUUGGAUGGCAAGCUUCUACGACAACUGCUCCGCACAUCACUGCAAGAAGCUGCCCGCAGAGGAUUGUGGACACGGCUCAGCAAAUCACGGAAACCAGCCUCCCCUCCACGGACUCUGUCUAUACUUCUUGCUGGAUCAGUGAAGCAGCCAGCGUAAUCAAAGAACCCACCCCUACCCCAGACAUUCUCUCUUCUCCCCUGUUCCAGGCAGAUGAUACAAAACCCUGAAACCAGGCUCAAGGACAGCUUCUACCUCACUGUUACAAGAGUAUUAACAGGUUUCCUAGUAUAAUAAAUUGGACUCUUGAUUUCACAAGCUACCUCAUUUUGUUCAUGCACCUUACUGCCUGCACUGCACCUUUUCUGUGGCUGUUAUACUUUAUUGUGCUUUGUUAUUGUUUUACCUUGUUCUAUCUCAAUGCACUGUAAUGAUCUGAUCUGUAUGAACAGAAUGCAAGACAAACUUUUCACUGUACCUCAGUAGAUGUGACAAAAAUAAAAGAAUUCCAU